CCAUCACUAGGCAGGAUUAACCCUAACUGCGUUAAGCCCAUCUGAGAGAAUUAGGGCAACGCCACUAUAAAUACCGAUUCAAUCUUCUUCAGCAAUGGCGGACGAGAAGUCUUUGUCGAUUUCGCUUCACUCUUCUACGGAGUUGCAGUGAAUAUCCAUUUACGAGCUUCUCUACUAUUCUCUCGAAUGAAUCUUAUUAUGCUAGUUUUUUUUAUAGUCGUAGUUCUGUUUUUUGUUUACUCGGUUUCGCUCGCACAAUGAAGGUGAUUUGUUGGGGUAUAAAGUGAUGAAAAUCUUAGCUACGUGCAGACGCAGCAUCCGCCAGCGAAGUGUUCUGGCGAUGCGAUGAGCGGCACUUUCCACACGAGAUUUCUGAUUAUCCGGUUUCGUCUAACAUUUUCGAUCUAUUCGUUUUCGUUAUUGGAUUUCAUAUUGGGAAUUUAUUGCUUGAUUUUAUUCCGAUUACAUCUUUCUCUUCCAUUUUUUUUUUAUUUUUUUAAAUGAUUGUAUUGUUUCCGAAUUUUGAACUGAUAUUUCUGAAGGAGGAGGUCAUGACCCAACAGCCACACCUAAUCUUCCUCUACAUAUUGUGGCUUUUAUCUGCAUCAUUUGAAUAUGCUUUGUUAAUUUCAUUCUUUGAUUCCCUCCUCGGCAAUGAAUUUCCUCUACAAAUAUUUUUGAUUUGGAAAAAAAUAAGAAAAUAGUUCCAGUGCAUUUUAAUUAGUAUUUUUUUAUUUUGUAUUUUUUGGCCCCAACAUCAACUUUGAGAACAUUUAACUAUGUCACAAUAUAACCAAAAAAAAAAAUAAUAAUCAAAAUUAGUUCCAGCAACUAUUUGUGUAGGUUGGUCCUAAGGGCAUCUCCAAACCAGCCCUAUGGUUUUGGCAUCGGUUGCCCCAAAUCCGAUGCCAUUUUCUGGCGUUGUUAUAGUGCAACAUUGUAAAAAUAUUGGAGCAAUUGUUUAUUGAAGUUAAAACAGUAUAAAUAAAGUAACUGACUGUUUAUCCAACUGAUCAAGUAGUUGCGUGUGCGUGUUGGAUCUAACAUAAGCUUGUUGGAUUACAUUGUUGGUUUAUUUUCUUUGUAGAGGUAUAAUUUGAAGAGUAACCUAGAAAUUUACAGGUGGACUAGAAAAAAAAAAUGAAAAUUGAGAAUGUUUUGGUGGCAGCUGCUGGGCAUCAUUAUGGAUCAAAGAAUCCAUUGGGAGUACAUUCAGGGAUGGAUAACACAGCAAGUUUAAGCGGUGAUGGGAGUAUCGGUAUUUGGCAUAGUUGGUGACCGUACUCGUGAAGGAAAUGAUCUUCACAAGAUAUCUUGGAUAAAUGCUGAAUCGUACAGAUCAUACUUGGACAACAGGUUCUUAGAGCAGCUGUACUCGGGGUUUCUCCACAUUCUCCCGAUGUGGAGAAACCCAUGUUACCUAUUCUUCAAUUGGAAAAAAAAAAAAAAAGCAAAAA